rnacentral:lncRNA from 1 species
AUGCACUUCUAUCCGACUGCGCACGGGGAAGAAAUAAUGAAGAACGUCGGCUCCGGUUGCGUCUGGCCUCGGGAGCGUCACGAUGCCAUGAAGUCAUUGCAAUCAUCUGGCCGUCUAGAUCCAGCGUUAGCGCUCUUUCUCCAAGCGAAAUCAGAUGUGAUGAAGUCACCCUCCUCAUCCUCGUCCAUUAGCAUCAAAACCUCUCAUCAUCACUGAACCUGACGGAUGGAAACCACAUGUUUGGAGCUUACACACUUCAGGAACGAUUUCCUGUAGGAGAAUAAGAGCGUGAGCAAUUUGUAAUCAUUUUAAAUGUUUUUAUGCAUUAGCUAAUGGCUGUGUGUUGAUAAGAUUGGAACAAAAUAUUUAAUGAAGCAAUGCAAAUUCAAUAUUCAUUUGUGCUUUUUUAAAUCAAUUUAUAUAUUCAUUUAUUAAUAUAUUCACACACACACACACACACACACACACACACACACACACACACACAUAUAUACACCAUAUACACACAUACACACACACACACACACACACACACACACACACACACACACACACACACAUACAUACACACACACACACACACACACACACAUAUAUAUAUAUGUAUAAAAUUCACUAAAUAAAAAUAUCUCUAUCUACUAAUUAUUUAAUUAAUAUUUUAUUACUUGUAAAAAAAAUUAUAUAUAUAAAAUAAAUAUAAAAUAUAUUGAUAAUAUAUUUAAUGUUUUUACAAUAAUAAUAAAACUAUUAAAACAUGAAAAUAUACAAAUACAACAUUAUAAAAACAAUAAUAUGGGUGUGUAUAUAUAAUAAAAUUGGAUUAAAUCGA